rnacentral:lncRNA from 1 species
UACUCCUUUAAUCGAUUUAACGCUUCUAAAUAAUUCUUCAUCAAUGAAGAAAUGAUUCAUGUUUUUUGGAACUUCCAUGUAUAGUCAGUGGUACAAUACAACAUUCAAUUAUUGUAAGUCAAUAAAACGUGGACUAUCGUUUUCAUCAUAUCGUCUUUUGUCUUUCUAUUUCCAACAAUAAACUAUCUAUUCUAGAAAAUUGAGAAAUCUUUAUACUUAUCACAAUUGAGAUAGUAAUAAAUUUUAACAACGAAUAAUAUCGCACUCACACAUAUAUUAUAUGAAAGACGGAAAAAUAAGAACACG